rfam:Nomascus leucogenys chromosome 2, whole genome shotgun sequence.
GCUGGGCAUGGUGGUGCAUGCCUGUUGUCCCAGCUACUUGGGAGGCUGAGGUGGGGGAAUUGCUUGAGCCCAGGAGGUUGAGGCUGCAGUAAGCCAUGAUCAUGCUAGUACACCCUAGCCUGGGCAACAGAGUCAGACCCUGUCUCAA